UUACGGCCACAUCACGUUGAAACACUGGUUCCCCUACGAUUAUCGAAUUUAAACAACAUCGAGCCUGGUCAGUACCUAGGUGGGUGUCUACUUGGAAAUAUCAGGUGCUGUAAGC